rnacentral:rRNA from 1 species
GACGAACGCUGGCGGCGUGCCUAACACAUGCAAGUCGAGCGGAAGUGUCUUUCGGGGCACUUUAGCGGCGGACGGGUGAGUAACACGUGGGUAACCUGCCUCAUAGAGGGGGAUAGCCUUCCGAAAGGGAGAUUAAUACCGCAUAAUAUAUACAAGUCGCAUGGCAAGUAUAUUAAAGGAGCCUUAAAACUCCGCUAUGAGAUGGACCCGCGGCGCAUUAGCUAGUUGGUGGGGUAAAGGCCUACCAAGGCGACGAUGCGUAGCCGACCUGAGAGGGUGAUCGGCCACAUUGGAACUGAGACACGGUCCAGACUCCUACGGGAGGCAGCAGUGGGGAAUAUUGCACAAUGGGCGAAAGCCUGAUGCAGCAACGCCGCGUGAGUGAAGAAGGCCUUCGGGUUGUAAAGCUCUGUCUUUUGGGACGAUAAUGACGGUACCAAAGGAGGAAGCCACGGCUAACUACGUGCCAGCCGCCGCCGUAA